UACACUCCUACGGGAGGCAGCAGUGGGGAAUAUUGGACAAUGGGCGCAAGCCUGAUCCAGCCAUGCCGCGUGAGUGAUGAAGGCCCUAGGGUUGUAAAGCUCUUUCACCGGUGAAGAUAAUGACGGUAACCGGAGAAGAAGCCCCGGCUAACUUCGUGCCAGCAGCCGCGGUAAUACGAAGGGGGCUAGCGUUGUUCGGAUUUACUGGGCGUAAAGCGCACGUAGGCGGACUAUUAAGUCAGGGGUGAAAUCCCGGGGCUCAACCCCGGAACUGCCUUUGAUACUGGUAGUCUUGAGUUCGAGAGAGGUGAGUGGAAUUCCGAGUGUAGAGGUGAAAUUCGUAGAUAUUCGGAGGAACACCAGUGGCGAAGGCGGCUCACUGGCUCGAUACUGACGCUGAGGUGCGAAAGCGUGGGGAGCAAACAGGAUUAGAUACCCGGGUAGUCCCAUGA
rnacentral:rRNA from 1 species